GUGAACGCCCUCACGGGCUUAUACUAUUCCAAACCUCUGUGAACCGUGCCCUUCGGGGCUAUUUUACAAACAUGGUGUAAUGAACGUCAUAUAUCAUAACAAAAUA
rnacentral:misc_RNA from 1 species